AUGUCUGUCAAACAGAAUAAAAUAUGUAAAAGUUUAUAUUUCUUGGUUCUGCAAGUGAGGCAGAACCGUGUGGCUAGAUCUAUCAAUGAACAGUGGCCAGAGGUGGAACGUUACUUCUACACCAAAGCAUUUACAAGUCAGCACGGGAUUCACCACGCUGUCUUUCCUGGCACAAAGAACCCUGAGGCAUCAUUAAGAAGGAGUUACCAGAGAAAGGAAGCAGUCUGGAAUGUUGAGUCACUGCAUAAAGUGCUGCCCUGGAGAAACUCCUGGACUCUUAGCAGAUUUGCCCAAACUCAGGAUACUGUGUUGUGGUGGUGUGAAAGGGUAGCAACAUGCAGACUUUACCUUCAAGGGACUUUAAAUCUAGGAGAGAGUAUAAAAGGUAUACCAAUAGUUAUUAAGUGCUCACAUGCAAUCAGUGCUGCAAGACAGAUACAAAGAGGAUGGAAUGAUUUUGUUCAGCUUGGGACCUGAUAAGAGUUUGGAUAAAGGGUUUAGGUGAAAAAAGACUAGGCAUGAAUUG
rnacentral:lncRNA from 1 species